CGUUCCCGGGCCUUGUACACACCGCCCGUCACACCAUGGGAGUCUGUUGCUCCAGAAACGGGUUGCCUAACCGAAAGGGGGCGCUCUUUAAGGAGUGGCGAGGUAACUGGGGUG
rnacentral:rRNA from 1 species